UAUGGCCACAUCACAUUGAAAUACCAGUUCCCGUAUAAUCACCAAAGUUAAGCAACGUCAAUCCUGGUCAGUACCUAGCUGAGAGACCUCUUGGGAAUACUAGGU